ACUUCCUUCUUCUGUACGUGACAAAAGCCACUGUUAAAAAGGAUUCUAUCCAUUUACGGUCUCUUUGCUGUCAAAUUCAUCCUAAAAUUACCACAUUUGUCCAAAAUCAUUGCCCACAUUAUUAAAGUGUUGAAAGAUUUUGAUCCAAGACCAAGUAUUCGGAACGCAUGUUGUGAUGUGGUUGGCAUUUUGUUUAGGUUAUAUUUAAAGGAAGUAGGAGUAUAGUUAUUAAAGGGACAAGGCGUAGGCGGUCCCUGAAUGAGAUGAGGCACACAAAAAAAAAAAAA
rnacentral:misc_RNA from 1 species